UCAGAAGGGGAUAACACUUGGAAACAGGUGCUAAUACCGUAUAACACUAUUUUCCGCAUGGAAGAAAGUUGAAAGGCGCUUUUGCGUCACUGAUGGAUGGACCCGCGGUGCAUUAGCUAGUUGGUGAGGUAACGGCUCACCAAGACCACGAUGCAUAGCCGACCUGAGAGGGUGAUCGGCCACACUGGGACUGAGACACGGCCCAGACUCCUACGGGAGGCAGCAGUAGGGAAUCUUCGGCAAUGGACGAAAGUCUGACCGAGCAACGCCGCGUGAGUGAAGAAGGUUUUCGGAUCGUAAAACUCUGUUGUUAGAGAAGAACAAGGAUGAGAGUAAAAUGUUCAUCCCUUGACGGUAUCUAACCAGAAAGCCACGGCUAACUACGUGCCAGCAGCCGCGGUAAUACGUAGGUGGCAAGCGUUGUCCGGAUUUAUUGGGCGUAAAGCGAGCGCAGGCGGUUUCUUAAGUCUGAUGUGAAAGCCCCCGGCUCAACCGGGGAGGGUCAUUGGAAACUGGGAGACUUGAGUGCAGAAGAGGAGAGUGGAAUUCCAUGUGUAGCGGUGAAAUGCGUAGAUAUAUGGAGGAACACCAGUGGCGAAGGCGGCUCUCUGGUCUGUAACUGACGCUGAGGCUCGAAAGCGUGGGGAGCGAACAGGAUUAGAUACCCUGGUAGUCCACGCCGUAAA
rnacentral:rRNA from 1 species